GCAAGCCGUAUGAUGGGAAAACUAUCAUGUACGGUUACGAGAGAGGUGCACUAAAAGCGCAAAGGAAACCCAGAAGUGGCCCCACGCGAGUAAGGGCACCUACUCUAC
rfam:Physcomitrella patens subsp. patens PHYPAscaffold_247 genomic scaffold, whole genome shotgun sequence.